AGAAGAGAUUCCACAUUCCAUAUCCGGAGACAGAGACAAUUUGCGCGACAUGUUGAUUUGGGGUAAUGGCAACGCUCAUCAUACCAUAGAAGGUGAAGUACAAGAGAGUGAAAUACAUGAUAAACAAGUACCAAAAGAACUUGGUCACUGUCCAUUCAAAUCCGAUCAUAGCAUAGAUGAUAACA